UACGUAGGGGACAAGCGUUGUCCGGAAUCAUUGGGCGUAAAGCGCGUGUAGGCGGUCCGGUAAGUCCGCUGUGAAAGUCGGGGGCUCAACCCUCGGAUGCCGGUGGAUACUGUCGGGCUUGAGUACGGAAGAGGCGAGUGGAAUUCCUGGUGUAGCGGUGAAAUGCGCAGAUAUCAGGAGGAACACCAAUUGCGAAGGCAGCUCGCUGGGACGUUACUGACGCUGAGACGCGAAAGCGUGGGGAGCAAACAGG
rnacentral:rRNA from 1 species